AGAGUUUGAUCCUGGCUCAGGACGAACGCUGGCGGCGUGCUUAACACAUGCAAGUCGAACGGAAAGGCCCCCACUUUUUUGGUGGGGGUGCUCGAGUGGCGAACGGGUGAGUAACACGUGGGUGAUCUGCCCUGUACUUCGGGAUAAGCUUGGGAAACUGGGUCUAAUACCGGAUAGGACCAUGGUUUAGUGUCUCAUGGUGGAAAAAUUAUUGUUUUGGUGCAGGAUGAGCUCGCGGCCUAUCAGCUUGUUGGUGGGGUAAUGGCCUACCAAGGCGUCGACGGGUAGCCGGCCUGAGAGGGUGGACGGCCACAUUGGGACUGAGAUACGGCCCAGACUCCUACGGGAGGCAGCAGUGGGGAAUAUUGCACAAUGGGCGCAAGCCUGAUGCAGCGACGCCGCGUGGGGGAUGACGGCCUUCGGGUUGUAAACUCCUUUCGUUAGGGACGAAGCCGCACCUUUUUUUGGGUGUGGUGACGGUACCUUUGUUAAGAAGCACCGGCUAACUACGUGCCAGCAGCCGCGGUAAUACGUAGGGUGCGAGCGUUGUCCGGAAUUACUGGGCGUAAAGAGCUCGUAGGUGGUUUGUUGCGUCGUCUGUGAAAUUCCGGGGCUUAACUUCGGGGUGGCAGGCGAUACGGGCAUAACUAGAGUGCUGUAGGGGAGACUGGAAUUCCUGGUGUAGCGGUGGAAUGCGCAGAUAUCAGGAGGAACACCGAUGGCGAAGGCAGGUCUCUGGGCAGUAACUGACGCUGAGGAGCGAAAGCAUGGGGAGCGAACAGGAUUAGAUACCCUGGUAGUCCAUGCUGUAAACGGUGGGCGUUAGGUGUGGGGACCGGUUUGGUUUCUGUGCCGUAGCUAACGCAUUAAGCGCCCCGCCUGGGGAGUACGGCCGCAAGGCUAAAACUCAAAGGAAUUGACGGGGGC
rnacentral:rRNA from 1 species